rnacentral:rRNA from 1 species
UGCAAGUCGAGCGCAGURAAUAAACAGAACCCUUCGGGGUGAUGUUUAUGGAAUGAGCGGCGGACGGGUGAGUAACACGUGGGCAACCUGCCUGUAAGAUCGGGAUAACUCGCGGAAACGUGAGCUAAUACCGGAUAACACUUUUCAUCUCAUGGUGAGAAGAUAAAAGACGGUUUCGGCUGUCACUUACAGAUGGGCCCGCGGCGCAUUAGCUAGUUGGUGAGGUAACGGCUCACCAAGGCGACGAUGCGUAGCCGACCUGAGAGGGUGAUCGGCCACACUGGGACUGAGACACGGCCCAGACUCCUACGGGAGGCAGCAGUAGGGAAUCUUCCGCAAUGGACGAAAGUCUGACGGAGCAACGCCGCGUGAGUGAUGAAGGUUUUCGGAUCGUAAAACUCUGUUGUUAGGGAAGAACAAGUUGGGUAGUAACUGACCCRACCUUGACGGUACCUAACCAGAAAGCCACGGCUAACUACGUGCCAGCAGCCGCGGUAAUACGUAGGUGGCAAGCGUUGUCCGGAAUUAUUGGGCGUAAAGCGCUCGCAGGCGGUCUUUUAAGUCUGAUGUGAAAGCCCACGGCUUAACCGUGGAGGGUCAUUGGAAACUGGAGGACUUGAGUACAGAAGAGGAGAGUGGAAUUCCACGUGUAGCGGUGAAAUGCGUAGAGAUGUGGAGGAACACCAGUGGCGAAGGCGACUCUCUGGUCUGUAACUGACGCUGAGGAGCGAAAGCGUGGGUAGCGAACAGGAUUAGAUACCCUGGUAGUCCACGCCGUAAACGAUGAGUGCUAGGUGUUAGGGGGUUUCCGCCCCUUAGUGCUGAAGUUAACGCAUUAAGCACUCCGCCUGGGGAGUACGGCCGCAAGGCUGAAACUCAAAAGAAUUGACGGGGGCCCGCACAAGCGGUGGAGCAUGUGGUUUAAUUCGAAGCAACGCGAAGAACCUUACCAGGUCUUGACAUCCUCUGAUACCUCUAGAGAUAGAGUUUUCCCUUCGGGGACAGAGUGACAGGUGGUGCAUGGUUGUCGUCAGCUCGUGUCGUGAGAUGUUGGGUUAAGUCCCGCAACGAGCGCAACCCUUGAUCUUAGUUGCCAGCAUUCAGUUGGGCACUCUAAGGUGACUGCCGGUGACAAACC